CGAGUGCGCAUGCACACACAGCCUGAUUAUUACCCUAUCUCUAUUGUCCUCUGUUCACAUGUCUGUCCUGACCUUGGGAUUAUGAGCUCUAUGAGAUCACAGAUAGAAUUGUGUAGGUCUGUGUUCUUAGUGCCAAGCAUGGGACCUGGCACACAGACCAUCUUAUUGAAUGUUUACCGUUAAGAGGAACUGGUGAAACCAUACAGAAGACCCAGGAUUCCCACUGGCCUCAGAGUCCCACCAUCCACUCUGGUCACUCACCACAAAUGGACAACCUGGGCAGUCACUGUCCUGGAUUGGGCAUAUUGCAGUGUACAUAACAGGCUGGGCUCCUGGUCUCAUGGAGUGAACUGUCCAGAUGAUGAAAUCCUGACUCAGAAAGGUAAACUUGCUCAAGGUCACACAGUUGUGGCAGAGUCAGGACUUGAACCCAGACACCAGCAUCCAAAGUCUGACCUCUUAACCCCUGCGUGGCCCAGGCUGAGAAUUAAGGGCCAGAUAGAGGCGGAAAGCGACACCGAGAAUCCAUUCCAAACGAGCAGCCAAGAGGAGACGAGGCAGCUCCCAGAUGUUGAUGCUUUGUUUUUUGACAUAAAUCUUUGCACUCA